GUGCUGAAGCAACAAAUGCCCUGCUUCCAGGAAAAGCCUCUAAGCAUCAGGUAACAUCAAAUCGUACCCCAAACCGACACAGGUGGUCAGGUAGAGAAUACCAAGGCGCUUGAGAGAACUCGGGUGAAGGAACUAGGCAAAAUGGUGCCGUAACUUCGGGAGAAGGCACGCUGACACGUAGGUGAAGUGAUUUACUCACGGAGCUGAAGUCAGUCGAAGAUACCAGCUGGCUGCAACUGUUUAUUAAAAACACAGCACUGUGCAAACACGAAAGUGGACGUAUACGGUGUGACGCCUGCCCGGUGCCGGAAGGUUAAUUGAUGGGGUCAGCGCAAGCGAAGCUCCUGAUCGAAGCCCCGGUAAACGGCGGCCGUAACUAUAACGGUCCUAAGGUAGCGAAAUUCCUUGUCGGGUAAGUUCCGACCUGCACGAAUGGCGUAAUGAUGGCCAGGCUGUCUCCACCCGAGACUCAGUGAAAUUGAACUCGCUGUGAAGAUGCAGUGUACCCGCGGCAAGACGGAAAGACCCCGUGAACCUUUACUAUAGCUUGACACUGAACAUUGAGCCUUGAUGUGUAGGAUAGGUGGGAGGCUUUGAAGUGUGGACGCCAGUCUGCAUGGAGCCGACCUUGAAAUACCACCCUUUAAUGUUUGAUGUUCUAACGUGGACCCGUAAUCCGGGUUGCGGACAGUGUCUGGUGGGUAGUUUGACUGGGGCGGUCUCCUCCUAAAGAGUAACGGAGGAGCACGAAGGUUGGCUAAUCCUGGUCGGACAUCAGGAGGUUAGUGCAAUGGCAUAAGCCAGCUUGACUGCGAGCGUGACGGCGCGAGCAGGUGCGAAAGCAGGUCAUAGUGAUCCGGUGGUUCUGAAUGGAAGGGCCAUCGCUCAACGGAUAAAAGGUACUCCGGGGAUAACAGGCUGAUACCGCCCAAGAGUUCAUAUCGACGGCGGUGUUUGGCACCUCGAUGUCGGCUCAUCACAUCCUGGGGCUGAAGUAGGUCCCAAGGGUAUGGCUGUUCGCCAUUUAAAGUGGUACGCGAGCUGGGUUUAGAACGUCGUGAGACAGUUCGGUCCCUAUCUGCCGUGGGCGCUGGAGAACUGAGGGGGGCUGCUCCUAGUACGAGAGGACCGGAGUGGACGCAUCACUGGUGUUCGGGUUGUCAUGCCAAUGGCACUGCCCGGUAGCUAAAUGCGGAAGAGAUAAGUGCUGAAAGCAUCUAAGCACGAAACUUGCCCCGAGAUGAGUUCUCCCUGAGACUUAGAGUCUCCUGAAGGAACGUUGAAGACGACGACGUUGAUAGGCCGGGUGUGUAAGCGCAGCGAUGCGUUGAGCUAACCGGUACUAAUGAACCGUGAGGCUUAACCUUACA
rnacentral:rRNA from 1 species